rnacentral:tRNA from 3 species
GGGGGCAUGGCGGAAUGGUAGACGCAACGGACUUAAAAUCCGUUGACUGCAAGGUCGUGAGGGUUCAAGUCCCUCUGCCCCCA